AUUUGAGGUGAUGAGGAGUUUUUACCGCCCCAGUCUGAUGAUUGAUGACUGAUUGGUAUCCCCUCUGAUCAUAC